AGCACGAUCUUCGGAUUGGUGGCGACCGGCGCACGAGUGCGUAACGCGUAUAGAACCUACCUUUUACAGAGGGAUAGCCCAGAGAAAUUUGGAUUAAUACCUCAUAGUAUUAUAGAUUGGCAUCGAUUUAUAAUUAAACAUUUAUGGGUAAGAGAUGGCUAUGCGUCCUAUUAGCUAGAUGGUAAGGUAACGGCUUACCAUGGCGACGAUAGGUAGGGGUCCUGAGAGGGAGAUCCCCCACACUGGUACUGAGACACGGACCAGACUCC
rnacentral:rRNA from 1 species